AUGUAUGGGUAAGUGGUUUUUUAGGUC
rnacentral:piRNA from 1 species